rnacentral:lncRNA from 1 species
CAGCGGCGCCGCCGCGCUCCGUCUUCGCCCGCUGCGCGCCCGGCAGGUCCCGGGAGCCGAGAACUGGGACUUUGUAGGCCAGUUGAAGACAUGAACCUCUCAUCUCGCCCGCAAAGACCCAGCCCUCAGCUCGCCCAUCAGGCGCAGGCGACCACUGCUCACCGCUAUCUUUAAUUGAACCCCUUUUUCUGGCCGGUGCCCACCGCCAGCGCAGAGCCCCCGCCCCGGGGCCAUCGGGGACCCCGCCGGAGCGGGAUCGUUCCCCCGGCCGGGGGAGGCAGCGAUCCGCGCCGUCCCCUCCCCGAACUUGAAAGCUGUCCCGGUCCCGGCUCUCGGAGCCAGCUCCGCACCUCGGGCCGGGCCCCGACGCCCAUCGUGACUCGGCAGUGCCGAUCCCGCUCCUGCGGGAACUUCGUGCGCGGAGAGACGGGAGCGAAAACACCAAACGGACAGAAAAUCUCCAGCCCCUCCGUUACCUGCUGUAUACUGAAGACAAGGCAGCCCUGUGUAUGCAUCGUUAUGGAUGUGGCAAGUGACUCUACCUGGCCUGCACGGAUGGAACGCCAGAGAGAGAACUUGAACUGAGCUACCACGGAACUGCUCUCGAUCAAGACUGUGAAGCCAUCCCCUACACAGAAGAACGUGUUCCUUGGCUGGAAGCCUGAUGAAUAUGUAGAGCCAAGGAACAUGUUGUUUAAAACUGAUAGUAGAAUGCAAACUGAAUCAUGGACCAUGGGCGAAAAGGUUGGAAGAAGGACAGCGCUCUAUGAGCCUUUUGAAAAUUAGACAUUCUGGCAGAAGGUAGAGAAAUGAAGAAUUUCUUGACCAUCUGGAAGGAUUCUGCAGAGCUGAUGCCUAGAGAGUGUGGUACAAAUUAAAACUUCCCAAAAAGGUGUAAAAGACACUAACCUUUUCUCUGGUGAAGGGAAUAGAUGCUGUAGAAAUCACUUGGGUUGAACAAGAAAAGGCCUCAAUAGGUUUUAUUAAAUAAGAGACUACUACUCUUACAGGAUGCAAAUUACAUCUGAAAGUUAUCUCAUACUCUCAUUUUUUAAUUGUUUUUUAAAUACUGUAUUUUUGCUCGGUCUCUAUCAUGUAGCUGCUCAAAACAUCACAGAACAAUUCUGAGAACAACAAAUUCACAGCAAAAAAUGUAUGUAUGUGUAUGGAAGGAAGAGCACGAGCCAGGGAAUAGAGUUCCUCCCUAACUGAGCUGAUGGCACAUUAUUUCUCUGAUGUCCUGACCAACUGCUUAAUUUGCUAUUUUCAGCAGCCUCAAAACAUGUUGCCUCUUGUCUUGACCUGGCCCCCACUAGUACUGAUGUGAAGCACCUCUUAAUUUUCAUGAGAGCAGAGCAAGACUUUCACACAACAUUUUUGCCCAGCAGGAGCUCUUCUGCAGGGAGCCUGAUCCCACGGGACGUGCUCAGCUGCUGGCAGCCUGUUCCCACUUCCACUGACGCCCCUGGCAGCCCUGUGGUAGUAACAGGAUAAGGCAUAUUUCAGGCAAGUCUUCACUUGGAAGGAGGUGCUUCCAUAACUGAGAAGGUCAGGUCUUAGGACUUCAUCUCCUCUCACGAAUACCUGCUGGCUGCCCUUCAUGGUGUGCAGAAUCCAUGCACAGGGAAUGCAUGAGUACACACCCUGCCUGGAUGGGAGCUGGGAAGAGGAUUAGCUCUGCAUAGAGCUCAGAUGUAAUCACAAGCAUAUCAAGUUGUAAAGCAUCACAACUUACACAAUUCUAAAAAUAAACAUAACCAGUUUGUUUCA